AUUGAACGCUGGCGGCAGGCCUAACACAUGCAAGUCGAGCGGAGGAAGGGAGCUUGCUCCUGGAUUCAGCGGCGGACGGGUGAGUAAUGCCUAGGAAUCUGCCUGGUAGUGGGGGAUAACGUCCGGAAACGGGCGCUAAUACCGCAUACGUCCUGAGGGAGAAAGUGGGGGAUCUUCGGACCUCACGCUAUCAGAUGAGCAUAGGUCGGAUUAGCUAGUUGGUGGGGUAAAGGCCUACCAAGGCGACGAUCCGUAACUGGUCUGAGAGGAUGAUCAGUCACACUGGAACUGAGACACGGUCCAGACUCCUGCGGGAGGCAGCAGUGGGGAAUAUUGGACAAUGGGCGAAAGCCUGAUCCAGCCAUGCCGCGUGUGUGAAGAAGGUCUUCGGAUUGUAAAGCACUUUAAGUUGGGAGGAAGGGCAGUAAGUUAAUACCUUGCUGCUUUGACGUUACCAACAGAAGAAGCACCGGCUAACUUCUUG
rnacentral:rRNA from 1 species